rnacentral:rRNA from 1 species
CCUACGGGAGGCAGCAGUGGGGAAUAUUGCGCAAUGGGGGCAACCCUGACGCAGCAACGCCGCGUGAUUGAAGAAGGCCUUCGGGUUGUAAAGAUCUUUAAUCAGGGACGAAGCAAGUGACGGUACCUGAUGAAUAAGCCACGGCUAACUACGUGCCAGCAGCCGCGGUAAUACGUAGGUGGCAAGCGUUAUCCGGAUUUACUGGGUGUAAAGGGCGUGUAGGCGGGAGUGCAAGUCAGAUGUGAAAACUAUGGGCUCAACCCAUAGCCUGCAUUUGAAACUGUACUUCUUGAGUGCUGGAGAGGCAAUCGGAAUUCCGGGUGUAGCGGUGAAAUGCGUAGAUAUACGGAGGAACACCAGUGGCGAAGGCGGAUUGCUGGACAGUAACUGACGCUGAGGCGCGAAAGCGUGGGGAGCAAACAGGAUUAGAUACCCCGGUAGUC